CUCGUAUGAUAAAUCAUGACAACUUAUGUCUUACCAUGCUAUAUUCAUGAAAAAACUAGUGAGGACGCAUCUGUUUUGGCAACAAUUACGAUGGUUCUCACAUGAUUCACGGGCACACAAAAGUAGCAGCAGUUCCCAUAGACGGAUUCAAACAAAGUACUAGCCCUAGAGGGGUCGAUAACAGGCAAGGUUCGGAUAAUUAGACACAAUUCAAACUAUUAUUAAACACUAGUUGGGGCAACUAUUUCAUGCCUCGAUCUAAUUUGGGAUGGACACAAGACGGACCUUGCCAUGAACAUCAUCGAGGACGUCCCGCAGCAGCUCAAUCCUGUGAACCUUCAUGAAGACAACCUUGUGGCCUUGCCACUGAUAAACUUGUUUGUGGAGGCAUGCCACGUCAUCUUCCUGUGUAAGCUUGACAAGAACAGUAUUCCUCACAAACGAAGGAGUAGCUUUGAACUUCUUGUGCUUCAGUACACCCUGGACAACACGCCUGACAACAGUGAGGCUGGAAUACAACUCUUCAUUGGUAUAACCGCAAAUGGCUACCAGGAUCCAACAGCCUAAGAACUCUGUUUUUCCAGUGCGUAUAUUCAGGUCGUCCGCCUCAUAGCAAAUGACAUGUACAACCACACAAUCCUUGUCUACAUCAGGGCUCUAAUUGAAACAGAAACAAAUUCUGAAUUACUUUUCAGUAUAAGAAACACAAGUUAUUUAAACCACUACGUAUACCAUGGCAUCGAAGCUAAUAAAAUUUUACAUUAUUAAUCACCACAUACUUCAUUUUCUAAAAAAAAUCACCACAUACUUAGAUGAAAAACCAUAAUUAAGAUCGGCAAAGAAGGAAAUCACCUUGGUCAGCUCAGCCGGG
rnacentral:lncRNA from 1 species